GGAGCUUUAGUGCAAUGGCUGCCUCAUUAAAAACCUAUCUAGGUAAAACUCACCCUUGUGAGAAACCCUAGACAUAAAAAAAGAGUGCAGCCCAGCUUCAAUUAUAAAGUUCAUCACAGUCCGAUACUUAAUAUUACAAUCCCAUUACAUAAAUGAUAACUAAUCAAGAUAAAGUUCUUCAAAAGCUUCUUCAAGUUCCUUGUCCUCCACCAUGUGUUGCAGCCUUGCUUCUGCAGCCUCCCAGUCUUUGAUGCAGGUGAGCAUCUCCACCAUGUCAGGCUUUAGCUUCCUCCGCCGCUCCUCG
rnacentral:lncRNA from 1 species